UACGAAGGGGGCGAGCGUUGUUCGGAAUUAUUGGGCGUAAAGGGCGCGUAGGCGGCCGACCAAGUCGGGUGUGAAAUCCCUCGGCUCAACCGAGGAACUGCACUCGAUACUGGUUGGCUCGAGUCCGGGAGGGGAUGGUGGAAUUCCCAGUGUAGCGGUGAAAUGCGUAGAUAUUGGGAAGAACACCGGUGGCGAAGGCGACCAUCUGGACCGGAACUGACGCUGAGGCGCGAAAGCCAGGGGAGCGAAUGGG
rnacentral:rRNA from 1 species